AACGAACGCUGGCGGCAGGCUUAACACAUGCAAGUCGAACGCCCCGCAAGGGGAGUGGCAGACGGGUGAGUAACGCGUGGGAACGUGCCCUUCGCUUCGGAAUAGCCCCGGGAAACUGGGAGUAAUACCGAAUACGCCGUAUUGGGAAAGAUUUAUCGGCGAAGGAUCGGCCCGCGUUAGAUUAGCUAGUUGGCGGUGUAAUGGACCACCAAGGCUACGAUCUAUAGCUGGUCUGAGAGGAUGAUCAGCCACACUGGGACUGAGACACGGCCCAGACUCCUACGGGAGGCAGCAGCGGGGAAUCUUGGACAAUGGGCGCAAGCCUGAUCCAGCCGUGCCGCGUGAGUGAAGAAGGCCUUAGGGUUGUAAAACUCUUUCGCCGGAGAAGAUAAUGACGGUAUCCGGAGAAGAAGCCCCGGCUAACUUCGUGCCAGCCGCCGCGGUAACAC
rnacentral:rRNA from 1 species